GCACUUGUGAGUCGUACAAUGUAUCGUAAAUUAUUGAGAACCUUGUUUCACCUCAAAAAAAGAAAAAAAGGCUCCAAAUAUUUAGAAGUUUUCCCUUCAAAUUUCUAAUUAUUCAGUUUUCAACUCAUUUUGCCCUGAAAUUUCAAUCAGCUUUCGCCUAACAUUUUCCCCUGAUUCUCUAAUUUCUAAUUAUUCAAUUUUCAACUCAUUUUGCCCUGAAAUUUCAAUCAGCUACGGAGAAAUCUGCUACUCUGCAAUCUGCUUCCCAGAGAUAGCAAUAGCAAGAUGGAAAGCCUAAUAAUUUUCAUAGUCUCGAUUUUUUUAUUUAUUUGUGAAGAUUUAACCUUUUUGAUUGUGUUUAAAUUGUGAAGCCUGCAAGGAAAUUGGAUUCGACCACCGACAAAGUAAAGAAGCCACGUCGCUACCGCCGGGAACGGUUGCUUUUAGGUUCCACAAAUGUUACCACAAAUUGAAAUUACUCCUAAGAAGGUCUCCUAACUUCGUAUACAAAUCUUUAUUUCAAUUCUAGUGACAAAAUAAGGAUCUUCACAAGUUUAUGUGCCAUCACAAAACAGUGUACUAAUAUAUGUUCCUUAUUUCUUCUUGUAAAAUGCUCCUUAUUUGCUUAUGAUUGAAGCAACAGUUGUGAAAGAAAUGUUUUGUGCUUGUGCAGUUGUGCUUUAAAAGUUAUUGGUGCUACUGCUUUUUGAUUUUUUUCUACAAUUGGAGUAGUUUGUCACCGUUUCUGUGGAAUCCUGUACGUAUUUGGAACUAGGUAGGCUAUAUUUGCUGUGUUUUGGUUUGCAGGAUUUGAAAAACAUGAGAACAUGAAUAAUGGCUUACUUUCUGUUGCAGCUGCUUCAACAAAUAGUGCUUAUGGUACUUAAUUUUCUUAUGUUUGUGUGCUUGUUAGUUCACAUCCUUUUUUGGGAGGGGAAAAGCUGAAUUUUUUAUAGGUAGUUGCUUCAACAAAUAUUGCUUAUGGUACUAAAUUUUCUUAUCUUUGUUUGCUUUUUAGUUCACAUUCCUUUUUUGAGAAGGGAAAAGCUGAACUUUUUUAUAGGUAGUUGUUUAUGGGGGCUCUGGACUGUGCUAUCUUGCUUGGUAGUUUUCAUUUAUUGGUUUUUAGUGUUCAAAGGUCGUAGUACGGUUUAUUAAAAGUUUAAACACACAUGGAUGCAUUUAGUAUUUGAUAAUUCAGAUUUUGUUCCUGUAGUUAGGAUCCACCAUAUACUUACAGUAUGUUAGUAGAAUAAACAUUUAUAAAUAAUUUAUCCUAUAUUAAUUAGGUUUCAAUAUUAGUUGAUGUGAAUAUAUAUGCUUAGUAUUGAUUGUUAUUCAUAGUAUUUGUUUAUUGGCUUAUUAAUCAGAUAGUAAUAUGACGACGACAGACAUUUACUUGAGGAAAUGUUGAUUUUCUGGAACUUCUGCAUAUUCUGGUUUGAGUUCAUCGAAAGUUAAGAAGUAGAUGAAUGUGAAUAUGUUGUUAAAAUACUUGGUCAAUUUGGAUCUUGUAAGUUAUAAAUAUUAAUGAUUAAGUUGAAACAACUAACUUUAUAUUUUACUAUUUAGUUUUAAUUUUUUGAAGCAUUGAAUCUAAGUGUAUUAUGUAAAUUAUGCGUGCUUAGUAUUUAAGUGGUAACAACUUUAUGUUUAACUUCCAUCACUAUUAAACAACUAUUUCAAAGUCAGUUUUUUUGGCUUUUUCUCUGAACUGCUAUUCUCUUUCCACUUCAAGCAUGUGCUAGUUGCAUAUUAGAUCCUUGAUUCUGCCAAGCUUUUAGAAAAUAGAGUAACCGAUAAAGAUCUUAUUCUAUAUUACAAUGCUUAAGUAUUCCAGGGAGCAAUAGUGAUUAUGUCAAAUACGCCUCCUACUGCGAGAAAUAUUGUUGAUGCUACUUUUGACCGACAACACCAUGUAAAUGGUGGUAAAAAGUGUAUCAAAAGAAUAAGACAUCAAAGAUUACUCUAGUUUUUCUUGAAUUGCUAAUUAUUGUUUUCUAUCUCUUACAGAAAUGGGAACAAAGAUGCAUUACAAAAGCUACUUCCCAGGGGUUAAGAUGGUGAGACCUUAAUGAUGAUUCUAGCAGUAGUAGUUGGACCUUAUCUUACAGGACCAAUAUGGUGGCAAAGAAUGCUUGUAGUAUUUAAGAAUCUGCAGGAAAGAGUGAUGGAUUUUUUGGAGGGUAUACAACUCUAUUAAAUAAAGAUUUAUAGGUUGCGUCGCAGAGAACAUUUGCUCAUUUGACAGCAAUAAGAGACUCACGUAUCUAAAGAAGCAAGCAUGUCUCGUGCAAAUAUGUUAUGCACUUUUGGAUAGAUAGGACUUUACAGUUUUUACUACAUGGAAGAUGAACAACACUUAAUAUGUUCAGUAUGCGUGUGAAAAAACACAUUACAUUUUGGCAUUAGAUACUUGGAAUUUUUGUUACUUAAAUAUGACAUUUUAUUUUAAUGAGUUGUUUAUGUAAUUUUGUUGGAUGAAUAA